AAUAAUUCGUUAAUUAAUUUGUCAGUUCAUUAAUACGAAAGGCUGUACGGACCUGCAAAUUUGCAAUGGGAGCUAGAAAGGGUGCAGUGUUUUCGGUACCGUGCGAGAUUGACAGCUGGAAGUUUGUCUGGUUGUUGGGAAGUUUGCAGGUCAGUACAGCCUUUCGUAUUAAUUAAUGAAUUAAUAGAUUAAUUAACAAAUACGGUUACGAAUUAUUGUAUGAAUUUAUCAAUUUAUGGACAAACUGCUGGACAAAUUGACAAAUUCACGAAUUAACAAACGAAUUGACAAACUAACGGCCGGAUAGUUUUGACACAAAUGGCGCUUCAUUUGGUGAGCUUCAGUUUCUCUGCUGUGUUUGCUUAUAAAGGUGUCCUUGGUUCCUGGGAGUUGGGUUGUGUGUGUCUGAGUCUCUGCAAAUGUUUGUUGGUAGCAGAGUUCUUGUGACUUUGUCUCCCUCUGGUGGUUUAUGUAAUGUACUGCUGUGCUGUUGUGUAUAGUACUUAUUUAUUUUCCUGAGAGAACCUUUCUAAAGCGUUUCACUGCCAGGAGGAUAGUUAAGAGAUGGGUGUGUGGCUUUCCUCUAGUGAUAAAAAGCCAUUGAAGUAUCGGCUGGUAAUCGCCCAUGCUGUGUCACUGUAUAAUGGUGUGUGUUGGCAUUAUCAGGACUCCUCAGCUGUGUGUGAAGCUCAGGCUGCACAGAGAGAUAAUCCAGUCCCUCUAUGCAAAUACGUUUUUAUCAGACUGUCUUCAGGAGCCUUUUUUUUAAUAGGGCUUUUAAAAUGGGAGCUGUUUGCAAGUUGCUGAUUAGCAGACCCUGGGGGACAAUUACAGUUCCUGGUACACAAAAUCUCUCACUCACACACAAUUUUUUGUAUUUCUUAUUUAUUUAUUUUUUUUUACUGUUGGACUCCUGAAUAUUUUUAAUGCAACACGGCAGGUGUUUUAAUGAGAUAAGGAUGGUUGCUACAGGACAUUGUUUGACUGGCUUGUGUAUCAGCCAGCAUCAGAUUGAUUAAUUAAUAUGGGAUAUAUUUGUUGUUAUUUUUUAGUGCCACCCUUUAAUUAUAUAUGGAAAUGAAUAUGUCGCAGCUAAGCCAUCUUUGGCAUCCUGACUGUUUGAAAAAUUGAGGACAUAAAAGCCAUAAUGUGCCGUCUUUUCCGCGGCCUCUUUAGACUUGCAUGCUGGUACAGCUAUUAAUAAAAACAAUUGACAGUUA